GUUUUGUGAAGGUUAAAAGGAGGUUUAAGGUCCGUUGCUAUGCCUUGCCCUCUUCCACUUUGAUGACUCUGGUGCAUGGUGCUGGUUUGCCCUGCCAGCCGGGAAGGGGCUCCUGGAGGUUGCUGGUCAUCAGGCAGUGCCUUCCCCUCACCCACCAGCUGGCGCCUAUCCCACAGGGCUUUACUCGAACACACACAAGAAAUUCAAGGUUAACAUUUCAUAUGGUUUUCAAAUGGGCAACAAAACACUGUUACAAGUAGGGCAGUGGCGAUAUCAAAUUAAUUCAAAUGAAUGUUCACCAAAAGCCAGUACCACAAGUAUUACAUUUUUUAUUAUUUAGUUUUGACGAGUUUGUUCUCAUGUUUUUUUGGUGUGGUCUACAUCACUCCUUCUGUGCUAUGUACCUUUCCCAGUUCUCUCACACACACACACACACACACAGUCCCGCACCCUGCCACUCACAACAAGGAUGAAAGACCACUUCUCCCUCUGACAGUUUCAACUCUAUUUGCAUUUGAGGUUUGGUCCAACAGAAUCAGUCAUAUGGACACCGAAACAGACAUUUGACUGGAAAACGUAAAAUGUUUAUGUCUGAAUUCUCAAAAUUGAGCGCAGAGCAGACCCUACUAAAACGGGAGUAUCGAUUAACAUUCAUUCUGGAAAAUUAAAUGCUCAGUUUGUCGUGCACGGCAUUACAGUACUAUGUACCGCUAGCAGCAUUUUAUCCAGAGUGUUGUGCUAGCAGUCUAGUCUGUGUUUUAUACAUUUGCAAUGUGCAUAAAGAGGCAUUUAUACAAGGAAUUGUCAACUCGUUCUCAUUCUGAGAAAUAAGCAUCUUAUCCAGGUAGACCACUUGAUUUCAACAUCUAAACAAAGUGGACAGGCUGGUAUGCUGUUCAAACAGGUGGAAACGGACAGAAGGCUGUGUUCAUAACAGUUCAACUGUUCUACCUUGAUACCUAGCAAAUAUAUCCAAGUUCGCUAGACUUCAAAUAUAAAGAUUAGCUGACUUCUCACGAACACGUGGGUUGAGAGAUUGUGUUGAUUUUCUAUAAUGCACCUGCUAAUCACCUGCUACAAGAAGUUGGUCAUUAUUAGUGGAAGUGCACGGUUCUGUUAAAAUUUCUAACAAAAAUUGCAUUUUCAUAGACUGACAUGACAGCCAGAUGUGAUUAUUGCAAAAAGGCAGGUUAAACUAUUUUUAUAAAAUAAUGUAAUUAGUAGUGGGUCUUAUGGUUGUGGACUGUUUAUAUUUAGCCUAGGUAUACUUUUACAAGCUCUGAAAUCAUUACACUAUUUGAAAUGAAGUGUAUUGACCUUUAGUUGUACAACAAAGCUUAGAGAGAAAAAAAGAAGAUGAUACAUAUCAUGAAUCGCCCAUAUGGAAAUAGUUAAAACAUUGUUUUAAAAACAGUCUAAUAGCAAAAAUUGGACACCAUAAAAAAAAAGCUAUUAUCAAGCAUCAGCCCAAUGUAUUGUUAGCAACAAGUAUUACGCACUGAAACAUAUAUAUUUUGAUGUCUUCUGACGACUAUAAAUCCAGAAAACCAAACAACGCAUAUGCCAGUAAAUGCUUUUAUGUACCAGCAAGCAUGUGCCUACAUGAUUAGGCUUUCUAUGUCUAUGAGCACCAUUCAGUCAAAAGCAGUUCCCCAGGUAAGCUCAUUGACAAAUUAAUCUUGUAAUGAGAGAACUCAUCCUUCCGGCACCACAUUACUGGUUAUGACUCAAUAUAAUAUGGUCAUUAAUAACUACAAUAGUUCACAGCAGUACAUCCAGAGUUCAUUCAAAGCCAUCUAUAAAGAGAGUUCAGGCUAACUUGGAAAACUACUAGUCACUUGGCAACGAACAUGGAGGAGAGUUGAGGUGCUGCCAGUGGCGAUUGAAGUCACAUGACACCCUUUUAACCAAUCAAAUUAUGUUUAAGUGAUAAUCCACAGAAACCUACAAUCUGACAUAAACAGCAAGGACCAAACUCUCCACAUAUGGCUCUUAUUACAUACAUUUGCACAUUGGAUUGGAGAAAAACAAAAAACAAAUGGAUUCAAAUCAAAUUACCUGUAUUUACAGUGGAUGGCUCACCUUCAUGCCAUCCUCCGGCCCCUUGACGGAGGGCUCGGGGGCCAAGGGGGGUGGAGUGGGGGGCUCGCGCCCAGGGUUGGGAUAAGGGGGAGCGGAUGAUGACGGUCUUGUUGACCUGCAUGACAGGUCUCUGGAUGGGGGUGGGGAAGGGGCCGGUGGUGGGGGACGCAUGUGCAUAACCAUGCUGCCCUGAGGAGGAGGGACCUAGAGGGCGGAGGCGGCAGGCAGGGAAAUACACACACUGUUAGCAUGGCAACAUGGCUCAGUAUAUCUGCAUGGUUAUCUUUAGGCAAACCUUGGGGGUAGUGGAGACUUGUGCAAGGCCGCAAAUAUUUUCCACAGAAAGAAUACCAAAAUUAUAUGUAAUAAUAUUGCUUUAUGCUCAUGACUCAAAAGUACCUCAAGGUCUUGAGUGGCCGUUUUACCAUUGUGUGAGAGCAGUUCAAGGUAGCUGCAUGACAACACUGAUCAGUCAUUUAAAAUGGUGCAACAACAUCAGUGAUUUAAAUAAAGCAGAAUGAUUGAGUGUGAGGUUUCUAUAACCUUGCCGUGGAGGGGGCACAGCGGGGCCUCAAACCAGCCGGUGGCCGGGUCUCUGUAGCAGCAACUACAGGUCAGGCCAGGGCCACUGCAGGCCCAGCCUCGUUGCUGAACAGCCUGCAUGGAGGUCGUCUUCUGUUUCCAAUGAAAUGGGAGGGGGAGGCUAUAUGAGUGUGUGUGUAUAAGCAGCUGGGAUUGUUUGAGUCAUGACCGUUUGUGUGUGUGUGUCAUGCCUGCUAGUGUCAGAGCAGUGUGCAGUGCCUGUAAAAUUGUGUUUGUUCAUAUGAAAGUGUGUGAAGUGCUCUGGAGGACCUUGAUUGAUUGUAGAGUGUGAGCAAUAACUAGUGCGACCAUUGUGUGUGUAUGUACCUAAUGUGUGUAUGACUAUGUGUUGGGUCAUACCUGCUGGGUGUAAUGUCCAGGCACGGGGCCAGACGGCUUCCCACUGGGGCUGGCAGACCCUGGUCUG
ensembl:lncRNA